rnacentral:rRNA from 1 species
CUCUUGCCAUCGGAUGUGCCCAGAUGGGAUUAGCUUGUUGGUGGGGUAACGGCUCACCAAGGCGACGAUCCCUAGCUGGUCUGAGAGGAUGACCAGCCACACUGGAACUGAGACACGGUCCAGACUCCUACGGGAGGCAGCAGUGGGGAAUAUUGCACAAUGGGCGCAAGCCUGAUGCAGCCAUGCCGCGUGUAUGAAGAAGGCCUUCGGGUUGUAAAGUACUUUCAGCGGGGAGGAAGGGAGUAAAGUUAAUACCUUUGCUCAUUGACGUUACCCGCAGAAGAAGCACCGGCUAACUCCGUGCCAGCAGCCGCGGUAAUACGGAGGGUGCAAGCGUUAAUCGGAAUUACUGGGCGUAAAGCGCACGCAGGCGGUUUGUUAAGUCAGAUGUGAAAUCCCCGGGCUCAACCUGGGAACUGCAUCUGAUACUGGCAAGCUUGAGUCUCGUAGAGGGGGGUAGAAUUCCAGGUGUAGCGGUGAAAU